GAAAUGCGAUAAGUAGUGUGAAUUGCAGAAUUCAGUGAAUCAUCGAAUCUUUGAACGCACAUUGCGCCCUUUGGUAUUCCUUAGGGCAUGCCUGUUCGAGCGUCAUCUAAACCUUCAAGCCCUGCUUGGUGUUGGGUGCCUGUCCCGCCUCCGCGCGCGGACUCACCUCAAAUCCAUUGGCGGCCCCCGCGUCGGCCACGAGCGCAGUAGAAACGCGAACUCGUGAGCCCGUCCGGGCGGCUCCCAGAAGCUACACCCACCCAGUUUGACCUCGGAUCAGGUAGGGAUACCCGCUGAACUUAAGC
rnacentral:misc_RNA from 1 species